GAUGAACGCUGGCGGCGUGCCUAAUACAUGCAAGUCGAGCGAACAGACGAGGAGCUUUCUCCUCUGACUUUGUCGGCGGACGGGUGAGUAACACGUGGAUAACCUACCUAUAAGACUGGGAUAACUUCGGGGAACCGGAGCUAAGACCGAAUAAUAUAUUGAACCUCAUGGUUCAAUAGUGAAAGACGGUUUUGCUUUCACUUAUAGAUGGAUCCGCACCCCAUUAGCUAGUUGGUAGGGUAACGGCUUAACAAGGCAACGAUGCGUAGCCGACCUGAGAGGGUGAUUCCACAGCCUGGAACUGAGAAACAGCCCAGACUCCGACGCGAGGACGCAGUCGGGAAUCUUACGCAAUGGGGGAAAGGCUGAUAGAGCAACGCCGCGUGAGUGCUGAACCUCUUCGGAUCGUAAAACUCUGUUAUUAGGGAAGAACAAAUGUGUAAGUACCUAUGCACGUAUUGACGGUACCUAAUCAGAAAGCCACGGCUAACUCCGUG
rnacentral:rRNA from 1 species